rnacentral:lncRNA from 1 species
AGCAAAUAAAACUAAAGAUCAUCAUCAACUCUUUUCAACAACAAGAGUAGCAUCAACUGCUGCAAUAGUAAGUGCCACAGUUUCAGCAACUGUUCCCACAGUAGUGGCUUCGGCAGGUGGUUCACCACAGAUUCAGCUCCCCCUGCAUGUGUAUCUCCCUCUGUGAAUGAUCCUUAGGCAGCUCCUCUUGUAAAUGCAUUCAUUCUUCCCCUUUGCUUACUCGGCUUGAU